rnacentral:rRNA from 1 species
GAUGAACGCUGGCGGCGUGCCUAAUACAUGCAAGUCGAGCGAACAGACGAGGAGCUUGCUCCUCUGACGUUAGCGGCGGACGGGUGAGUAACACGUGGAUAACCUACCUAUAAGACUGGGAUAACUUCGGGAAACCGGAGCUAAUACCGGAUAAUAUAUUGAACCGCAUGGUUCAAUAGUGAAAGACGGUUUUGCUGUCACUUAUAGAUGGAUCCGCGCCGCAUUAGCUAGUUGGUAAGGUAACGGCUUACCAAGGCAACGAUGCGUAGCCGACCUGAGAGGGUGAUCGGCCACACUGGAACUGAGACAGGGCCCAGACUCCUACGGGAGGCAGCAGUAGGGAAUCUUCCGCAAUGGGCGAAAGCCUGACGGAGCAACGCGGCGUGAGUGAUGAAGGUCUUCGGAUCGUAAAACUCUGUUAUUAGGGAAGAACAAAUGUGUAAGUAACUAUGCACGUCUUGACGGUACCUAAUCAGAAAGCCACGGCUAACUCCGU